AGCGAACGCUGGCGGCAGGCUUAACACAUGCAAGUCGAGCGGGCGUAGCAAUACGUCAGCGGCAGACGGGUGAGUAACGCGUGGGAACAUACCUUUUGGUUCGGAACAACACAGGGAAACUUGUGCUAAUACCGGAUAAGCCCUUACGGGGAAAGAUUUAUCGCCGAAAGAUUGGCCCGCGUCUGAUUAGCUAGUUGGUGAGGUAACGGCUCACCAAGGCGACGAUCUGUAGCUGGUCUGAGAGGACGGCCAGCCACACUGGCACUGACACACGGGCCAGACUCCUACGGGAGGCAGCAGUGGGGAAUUUUGGGCAAUGGGGGAACCCUGACCCAGCAACGCCGCGUGAGGGAGGAAAUCCUUCGGGAUGUAAACCUACACAAGACAAGGGAAGAGCGCAUGAGAGUGAAUACCUCUUAUGCUUGACGGUACCUU
rnacentral:rRNA from 1 species